GGAUUAGAUACCCUGGUAGUCCACACCGUAAACGAUGUGUGCUAGUUGUUGGGCAGUUUACUGUUCGGUGACGCAGCUAACGCAUUAAGCACACCGCCUGGGGAGUACGGCCGCAAGGUUAAAACUCAAAGGAAUUGACGGGGACCCGCACAAGCGGUGGAGCAUGUGGUUUAAUUUGACGCAACGCGGAGAACCUUACCAGCCCUUGACAUCCUGGUCGCGAGGAGUGGAGACACACCUUUUCAGUUCGGCUGGACCAGUGACAGGUGGUGCACGGCUGUCGUCAGCUCGUGCCG
rnacentral:rRNA from 1 species